GGGCUGCAGUGAGGAAUAUUCCACAAUGGGCGAAAGCCUGAUGGAGCGACGCCGUGUGUGUGAUGAAGUCUUUCGGGAUGUAAAGCACUGUCAGAGGGGAAGAUAUUGACGGUACCCUCAGAGGAAGCCCCGGCUAACUACGUGCCAGCAGCCGCGGUAAUACGUAGGGGGCGAGCGUUGUCCGGAAUUACUGGGCAUAAAGGGCGCGUAGGUGGCCUGAUAAGUGAGAUGUAAAAGGUAUGAGCUCAACUCAUAUAUGCAUCUCAAACUGUCUCGCUAGAGAGAGUCAGAGGAAAGCGGAACUUCCGGUGUAGCGGUGAAAUGCGUAGAUAUCGGAAGGAACACCAGUGGCGAAGGCGGCUUUCUGGGACUCUUCUGACACUGAGGCGCGAAAGCUAGGGGAGCAAACAGGAUUAGAUACCCCUGUAGUC
rnacentral:rRNA from 1 species